UGAUUAACAACUGAAGAUUAGGAGAAAAUUCAAAGAGACAUAAUUAAAGAAAGAAAAACAUCAGAAUGUAUAUAUUAAACUUAUAAACCAAUCGAAACACGUAUAAAUAUAUCAAUUGCACUUGGGUAAUAAAGAGGCGUAGCGGAGACAAGCACCUUGAAGUCUGUCGAAAGAACCAACCUUUAAAAUCAAAUCAGUUAUGACGGUUUGAUUGCAGAGACAACUCUUGACGAGAGAGCAGCAAGGUUCGCGUAAUAUCAGGUAGACUAACUCGCCUUUGAAAGCAGGAACGCACCCGAAGAGCUUGCUAGUGUCUUCUGGGCAGCUCGCCAUGGCCAAGGUGAAGAAGAGGAUGUUAAAUGUCAUAAAAAUGAUUAGAGUGGCUGAGAGUUUUGAAGCCAUUUGCUAUAUAUAUAUAUAUAUAUAUAUAUAUAGUUGGUUUAGAAGUUUUAAGAUAGAAGUGUUGAUUU
rnacentral:lncRNA from 1 species